rnacentral:tRNA from 1 species
AAUGUAGCUUAGUGGUAGAGCACUUGCCUACCAUGCAGGAGGCCUGCAUUUAAUUCCCAGCAUU